GCCUCAGUAACGGCGAGUGAAGCGGCAACAGCUCAAAUUUGAAAUCUGGCUCUCUUUGGGGGUCCGAGUUGUAAUUUGAAGAGGGUGCUUUGGCGUCGACGGCGGUCUAAGUCCCUUGGAACAGGGCAUCGCAGAGGGUGAGAAUCCCGUAUGUGGCCGCAAGCCUUCGCCGUGUAAAGCCCCUUCGACGAGUCGAGUUGUUUGGGAAUGCAGCUCUAAAUGGGAGGUAAAUAUCUUCUAAAGCUAAAUACCGGCCAGAGACCGAUAGCGCACAAGUAGAGUGAUCGAAAGAUGAAAAGCACUUUGGAAAGAGAGUCAAACAGCACGUGAAAUUGUUGAAAGGGAAGCGCUUGCAGCCAGACUUGCUCGCAGUUGCUCAUCCGGGCUCUCGCCCGGUGCACUCUUCUGCGGGCAGGCCAGCAUCAGUUUGGGCAGCCGGAUAAAGACCUCUGUCACGUAUCUUCCUUCGGGAUGACCUUAUAGGGGAGGUGCAAUGCGGUUAGCCCGGACUGAGGUCCGCGCAUCUGCUAGGAUGCUGGCGUAAUGGCUGUAAGCGGCCCGUCUUGAAACACGGACCAAGGAGUCUAACAUCUAUGCGAGUGUUUGGGUGUCAAGCCCGGGCGCGCAAUGAAAGUGAACGGAGGUGGGAGCCCUCUCGGGGGUGCACCAUCGACCGAUCCUGAUGUCUUCGGAUGGAUUUGAGUAAGAGCAUAGCUGUUGGGACCCGAAAGAUGGUGAACUAUGCUUGAAUAGGGUGAAGCCAGAGGAAACUCUGGUGGAGGCUCGCAGCGGUUCUGACGUGCAAAUCGAUCGUCA
rnacentral:rRNA from 1 species